UUAGUAAGCAACCGAGAUGCCCAACUCAACCAGAGAUGGUAGAGAUGAGAAGUCAAAACUCGCAACUCUCUGACUAGAUUGAAUAUGCUAUGGCAUUUACUAGUCACAGUUGACCAAAAUUCUUAUAUUUCGUAUGAUCAUGUAGGAAACUUGAGAACUUCUCAGGGGGGAAAGCUAACUUCAGCAAGUGAGCAGCAGCCCACGAAGACUAAAAAGGGCAAGUACGGCAACUAAGACAGGUCAAAACAAUAGAUCCAGAUAUUCUUGCAUCCAGACCCACUUGGCAGGAAAUGAUAACACAAGGUAAGAAUAUAAAAGAUAACCAAAAAAAAUCCCCGGUAAAUAAUAUCGUAAACAGAACCAGCCAUAAAUACGAUCAAAACAUGGUAAC